CAAUAGCGUAUAUUAAAGUUGUUGCGGUUAAAAAGCUCGUAGUUGGAUUUCUGCCGAGGACGACCGGUCCGCCCUCUGGGUGAGUAUCUGGCUCGGCCUGGGCAUCUUCUUGGAGAACGUAGCUGCACUUGACUGUGUGGUGCGGUAUCCAGGACUUUUACUUUGAGGAAAUUAGAGUGUUUCAAGCAGGCUUACGCCUUGAAUACAUUAGCAUGGAAUAAUAAGAUAGGACCUCGGUUCUAUUUUGUUGGUUUCUAGAGCUGAGGUAAUGAUUAAUAGGGAUAGUUGGGGGCAUUCGUAUUUAACUGUCAGAGGUGAAAUUCUCGGAUUUGUUAAAGACGGACUACUGCGAAAGCAUUUGCCAAGGAUGUUUUCAUUG
rnacentral:rRNA from 1 species